CGUGCCCAAAGAUCAAGGCCUUCUGGGAAAUGAUAUAUAAUGAAUUAAAAAAGGUAUUGAAAUACACUUUUGUGAAGAAACCAGAGGCUUUCCUCUUGGGCAUGGUCGGCCAAUUGGUGAGAAGGGAAGACAGGAAUUUUUUUAUGUAUGCGACAGCAGCGGCAAGAAUACUCAUUGGGAAAUACUGGAAGACACAAGAAUUGCCUACCCAAGAAGAAUGGCAGAGGAAAGUGAUGGACAAUAUGGAACUGGCUGAGAUGACCGGCAGAAUUUGAGAUCAGGAAGAAGGGUUGAUGGAAGAACACUGGAAAAAUUUAAAAUAUAUCUUCAGAAACACUGCAAUAUAAAAGAAUGUUAGAAAAAGGUUGGAGAAGAAUAUUAGACCGUAUUGGCAGACAGGGUAUAAUGGAAUAAGUAAAUAUGAAGUGUAAAAUGAGGAUAGAGGAGAAUUAAAUACUUUCGAAUGUUAAAAUAAGUAAAAGAAAAGAAGGUUAGAAGGAUUUGCUGGAGAUACGAUUUAAACUAGAAUACAAAGCAGGGAGGUGAGAGGAAGUCAUGGAAAUAAGUAAAUGGGAAAAUGGUU